rnacentral:lncRNA from 1 species
UUACUUAAGAAAUAAUUCAUGGGGGCUUGAAUAUAUCGUGAUUUUACCACGGGUUGGCCCUUUAUGACAAAUAUUUUACCCCUGAGCGAUAGCGAGGGGUAAAAUAUCGGCAUAAAGGGACAACCCGUGGUAAAAUCUAGAUAUAUUCAAGCCCCCAUGAAUUAUUUCGAUUCUGAUAGGACACAUACGGCAAUUCUUUUGGAUCGAAGCGCUCUAGGUGUAGGCAAAUAUUUGCUGUUCACAUAAAUAAACGCACUAAUAAACUAGCGUAAAAGAACGGAGCAAACUGCAUUAGUGACAUGCUUAAACUAUUUAAAAUAAUGUAUUUAGACAGUUUUGGAUGAAUUUGAAUGAUAAUUUAUUUAUAUGUCUAAUAUGAUGCACAAUAAAGGGCUUUUGCCACAUUUUAGCAUCAUUUGUGUAUGUUUCCUUGUGAUGAUUUUCGGAUUCACAAGCGUGUAUUUUCCCGUAAAAUACUUACAUUCUAACGUCAUUGUUCUAUGACGUCGGGUAUCUCGUUCAUAAAAAAGCAUAUGACGUGGGAGUACAAUCGGAACAGCACUGGCAAUAUAUUCAUAUUUUACCACGGGUGUGUACUCAAAGUGUUUGAAGGACGUCAUGUUAGAAUUAAGAAAUAAUUCAUGGGGGCUUGAAUAUAUCGUGAUUUUACCACGGGUUUGCCCUUUAUGACAAAUAUUUUACCCCUGAGCGAUAGCGAGGGGUAAAAUAUCGGCAUAAAGGGACAACCCGUGGUAAAAUCUAGAUAUAUUCAAGCCCACAUGAAUUAUUUAGAUUCUGAUAGGACACAUACGGCAAUUCUUUUGGAUAGAAGCGCUCUAGGUGUAGGCAAAUAUUUGCCGUUCCCAUAAAUAAACGCACUAAUAAACUAGCGUAAAAGAACGGAGCAAACUGCAUUAUAGUGACAUGCUUAAACUAUUUAAAAUAAUGUAUUUAGACAGUUUUGGAUGAAUUUGAAUGAUAAUUUAUUUAUAUGUCUUAUAUGAUGUACAAUAAAGGG